rnacentral:rRNA from 1 species
UGAGCAAUCUGCCCUUCACAUCGGGAUAACCCCGGAAACGGGAGCUAAUACCGGAUACGACCACUUCAGGCAUCUGAUGGUGGUGGAAAGUUCCGGCGGUGAAGGAUGAGCUCGCGGCCUAUCA